GCAAGUCGAACGAGAUCUUCGGAUCUAGUGGCGGACGGGUUAGUAACGCGUGGGAACGUGCCUUUCACUACGGGAUAGUCUUGGGAAACUGGGUUUAAUACCGUAUACGCCCUUCGGGGGAAAGAUUUAUCGGUGAAGGAUUGGCCCGCGUUAGAUUAGGUAGUUGGUGGGGUAAUGGCCUACCAAGCCUACGAUCUAUAGCUGGUUUGAGAGGAUGAUC
rnacentral:rRNA from 1 species